GACGAACGCUGGCGGCGUGCCUAAUACAUGCAAGUAGAGCGCACAGUUUAUACCGUAGCUUGCUACACAGUAGACUGUGAGUUGCGAACGGGUGAGUAACGCGUAGGUAACCUGCCUGGUAGCGGUGGAUAACUCCUGGACACGUUAGCUAUUACCGCAUAAUAUUAAUUAUUUCAUGAUAAUUAACUGAAAUGUGCAAUUGCAUUACUACCAGAUGGACCUGCGUUGUAUUAGCUAGUAGGUCAGGUAACGGCUCACCUAAGCGACGAUACAUAGCCGACCUGGGAGGGUGGUCGGCCAAACUGGGACUGAGACACGGCCCAGACUCCCACGGGAGGCAGCAGUAGGGAAUCUUCGGCAAUGGACGAAAGUCUGACCGAACAACGCCGCGUGGGUGAAGGAGGUUUUCCGAUCGUAAAGCUUUGUUGUAAGGGAAGAACGGGUGUGGGAGUGGAAAGUUCACACUGUGACGGUAUCUUACCAGAAAGGGACGGCUAACUACGUG
rnacentral:rRNA from 1 species